rnacentral:miRNA from 1 species
AUAUGUGUGUACUCAUCAUGUGCAUGUGAGUAUGUGUAUAUGUAUAUGUUUGUACAUGUGCAUGUGUGUGUAUGUGUGAGUAUUUGUAUAUGUGUGUGUAUAUGUGUGCAUGUGUGUGUAUGUGUGUGU